ensembl:snRNA U2 U2 spliceosomal RNA
CUUUAUUUUUGGCCUUUUGGCUAAGAUCAAAUGUGGGAUCCGUUAUCAGCUUCAUAUCUGAUACGUCCUCUAUCCAAGGACAAUGCAUUAAAUGGAUUUUGGGAACUGGCAGACAGAAUAGGGGCUUGCUCCGCCCACUCCGUGCAUCGAUCUGGUGUUGGAACACCCCCAGGAACAGCGCACCCCGG